rnacentral:rRNA from 1 species
AUGAACGCUGGCGGCGUGCUUAACACAUGCAAGUCGAGCGAAGCACUUAAGUUUGAUUCUUCGGAUGAAGACUUUUGUGACUGAGCGGCGACGGGUGAGUAACGCGUGGGUAACCUGCCUCAUACAGGGGGAUAACAGUUAGAAAUGACUGCUAAUACCGCAUAACAUAAUUGAACCGCAUGAUUUGAUUAUCAAAGAUUUAUCGCUGAAAGAUGAGCUCGCGUCUGAUUAGCUAGUUGGUAAGGUAACGGCUUACCAAGGCGACGAUCAGUAGCCGGACUGAGAGGUUGAUCGGCCACAUUGGGACUGAGACACGGCCCAGACUCCUACGGGAGGCAGCAGUGGGGAAUAUUGCACAAUGGGGGAAACCCUGAUGCAGCGACGCCGCGUGAGCGAAGAAGUAUUUCGGUAUGUAAAGCUCUAUCAGCAGGGAAGAAAAAAAUGACGGUACCUGACUAAGAAGCCCCGGCUAACUACGUG